rnacentral:lncRNA from 1 species
AACAAAAAUUAAUUUCAGAUAAAUCAGAAUCCUAAUCAUAAAGCUAAACCGUAAAUACCGGAGAAUUUACUGAUGAUGUGGGGACUGAUAGUUUCUAUACAAGCUGUAAAAAGUGGGAUGAGAAGGAAAAUUGAUGUUCUGUACUUAAUUUAAAAUUUUUAAAUGUUCAUUAAAAGAUACCACUAAGAAAAUGAGUAAGUCAAGCCAAUCGUGGUUAGCACAGGCAUAUAAUUCUAGCUGUUCAUGAAGCUGAAGCACAAAGAUUGCAAAUUUAAUAGCAGCCUGGGAACAUAGUGAGACCCUAUCUAAAACUUGGAAAAUGUAUUUAAAGGAGCUAUAGGUCAGUGGUAGAGCACUUGUAGAGCCCUGAGAAAGGAAGAUGAGAAAAAAUUAAUAGACCAAGACUCAGGUUUUGCAGUAUAUAAUUAACAGAGGAAUUACUGUAAGAAUCUAAAAAGAACUAUUUAAGGAAUUUUAAAAAACUUUUUAUGUAUAGAUGUUUGGUAUAUCUAUGAACCACCUGCGUAUGUUAUCUACAUAGGCCAGAAGAGGGCAGCAGAUCUCCCUGGCACUAUUAGAGUUAUAAAAGGUUGUGAGCCACCAUGUGGUUGUUGAGAACCAAACAGGGGUCCUCUGCAAGAGCAGUAAGUGCUCUCAAUAGCUGAGCCACUGCCCCAUCCCCUAUAAAGAAGUGAUUUAUAAUUCAAUAAACAUGUGUGUAUAUAUACAUAUAUAUAUUAGAGAGAGAGAAAGAGAGAGAGAGAGAGGCUAAAAACCAUUUAUUUUGCUUUCAAAACCUUCUGGAAUGACUACGAAAAUAAAAAAUAAAACAAUUAGUGUGGGUAAAUAUGGAUACAAAUAGUAGCUCUUCCAUAUUAAUGUGCAGAUUGAAAAAUGGUGCAGCCACUUUGGAAAACAGUUUGUCAGUUUCUUAAAAUGGUAAAUAUAGGGGGUUUCUGUGGGGGGCGGACUAGGAAAGGGGAUAACAUUUGGAAUGUAAAUAAAAUAUCC